UCAUACCGAAGCAGAAUUCGGUAAGCGUUGGAUUGACAAUUCGGAUAGGGAACGUGAGCUGGGUUUAGACCGUCAGCAUCUAGGGUAGUUUUACCCUACUGAUGAAGGUCGCCGCAACGGUAAUUCAAUUUAGUACGAGAGGAACCGUUGUCUCUGAGAAUUGGUUUUUGCGGCUGUCUGACCAGGCAGUGCGGCGAAGCUACCAUCUGCCGGAUUAUGGCUGAACGCCUCUAAGUCAGAAUCCGUACCGGAACGCGGCGAUGUUGCCCCGCACGUUGUAGUUGGAUACGAAUAGGCCUACGGGCCCUGAACCUCAGCAGGUCGGCGACGGCUCCCGGGAAGAGACUCUCGGGCGCCAGCUGACGGAUUGCAAUGUCACCACGCGCGGGGAUAGAUCCUCUGCAGACGACUGAAAUGACCAAGCGGGUCGUGUAAGCGGUCAAGUAGCCUAGUUGUUACGAGUCGCUGAGCGUCAGCCCGAUCCUUGGCUCGAUUUGU
rnacentral:ncRNA from 1 species